AAGUCGUAACAAGGUUUCCGUAGGUGAACCUGCGGAAGGAUCAUUAAAGAGUUAGGGUCCUCUGGCCCGAUCUCCAACCCUAUGUUUAAUCACCCUGUUGCUUUGGCGGGCCCGUCGUACGACCGUUGAAGGUCUCUGGACCUUUGGCCCGUGCCCGUCAGUAGCCCUUAUUAAAUUCUUGACAAACUGUGAUGUCUGAGUAUAAACUUAAUAGUUAAAACUUUCAACAACGGAUCUCUUGGUUCUG
rnacentral:misc_RNA from 1 species